rnacentral:rRNA from 1 species
CCUACGGGAGGCAGCAGUGAGGAAUAUUGGUCAAUGGGCGCAAGCCUGAACCAGCCAUGCCGCGUGAAGGAAGACGGCCCUAAGGGUUGUAAACUUCUUUUGUACUUGGGUAAUAGCCUUUACGUGUAGAGGUAUGAAAGUAAAGUACGAAUAAGGAUCGGCUAACUCCGUGCCAGCAGCCGCGGUAAUACGGAGGAUCCAAGCGUUAUCCGGAUUUAUUGGGUUUAAAGGGUGCGUAGGCGGGAAUAUAAGUCAGUGGUGAAAGUCUGGCAGCUUAACUGUAGAAUUGCCAUUGAUACUGUAUUUCUUGAGUAUAAUUGAGGUAGGCGGAAUGUGUAGUGUAGCGGUGAAAUGCUUAGAUAUUACACAGAACACCAAUUGCGUAGGCAGCUUACUAAGUUAUUACUGACGCUGAGGCACGAAAGCGUGGGGAUCAAACAGGAUUAGAUACCCUGGUAGUCCACGCCGUAAACGAUGAUAACUGGCUGUUGGCGAUAUACCGUCAGCGGCAAAGCGAAAGUGAUAAGUUAUCCACCUGGGGAGUACGCCGGCAACGGUGAAACUCAAAGGAAUUGACGG